AGGUCUAGCCUGCCCAGUGACAAAGUUAAACGGCCGCGGUACCCUGACCGUGCGAAGGUAGCAUAAUCACUUGUUCUUUAAAUGGGGACUAGUAUCAACGGCAUCACGAGGGCUUACCUGUCUCCUUUUUCUAAUCAGUGAAACUGCUCUCCCUGUGAAGAAGCAGGGAUAUUAAUAUAAGACGAGAAGACCCCAUGGAGCUUUAAACCCAACAUGUCUGUUGGUUUUAGGUUGGGGUGACCGCGGAGUAUAACCGAACCUCCCCUUUAUCCAAGAGCCACAUCUCUAAGAAUUAAAACAUUAACAUAAGAUGAUCCCAACGGACCAAGUUACCCUGGGGAUAACAGCGCAAUCCAUUUCGAGAGCUCCUAUCGACAAAUGGGUUUACGACCUCGAUGUUGGAUCAGGGUAUCCCAGUGGUGCAGCAGCUACUAACGGUUUGUUUGUUCAACUGAGU
rnacentral:rRNA from 1 species